GAGCAUUUCAUUUGCUAAAUUAGGCCAAAUCAGAAAAUGCAGACCUAAGUUCUAAUUCUAGCUUCCCUGCUUUCUGCAUCAUUCCCUUCAACUCUCCGGACCUCAGAAUCCUCAUGUGGAUGCUGUUACCAUUGGCCUGUGAAGCCACUUGUGUUAAACCCACUCUGAUACCUAGAGUGGCACUGCUGCCAGUGGCAGUCACUACCCGGUUGUUCUACCCAGACUACCUCACUGGAAGCACCAGGGGAAGUAGUUUAAGGGAAUGAAGAACAUCAGAGGACAGAACCCAGCAGGGCUCAGCAGAUCUUGGAAAACCAGCAGCUGUGGAGUAAGGAACAGGCCAAGUGACACGAUUCCAAACACAGAACCUGACACAGACAGACACACUGUAAACAUCUGUGGAACAAAUGCUGAACAAAUGAACUGCUGGCAAGCAUCAGCCCCAGGGUCUCAAGCAACCCAGGAUGAUCUCAAACUCACUAUGUAGCUGAGGAUGACAUUGAACUCCUGCCUCUACCUUUCAAGUGUUGGGAUUUAAGACAAGCAGUACCAUGCCCAGAAAAAUAAAAAUAAAAAUCUCACCUCAUAAACAGCAUUAUUUCAGCCAUUUAUCAAAUCAGAAAUUCUUUUCUACGAAAAUAUUAGAGCAGACAGAAGACCAGGAGAUAAGAUUUCUAUUUCCAGUUCAGUCUCUCCCUACCUGUAAAAACACAGAAAAGUCUCUUCUACUCUCAUAGGUUCUCAGCUACCCCUCCCCACUGCUAUAUAUAAAAUAAAGGAGCUAAAUAAGAUGAAUUCUAAGGGAUUUUUUCUACAUUUUUGAAAAUUUAAUUUUUUUUCUUUUGGUUUUUCGAGACAGGGUUUCUCUGUAUUGCUU
rnacentral:lncRNA from 1 species